rnacentral:rRNA from 1 species
CCCUUAGAUGUUCUGGGCCGCACGCGUGCUACACUGAGUGGAUCAGAGGGUCAGGUUGCGCGAAAGCGUUUCCUAAUCUUUAAAUCCGCUCGUGAUGGGGAUUGACGGUUGCAAUUUUCUGUCAUGAACGAGGAAUACCUUGUAAGCGCGGGUCAUCAUCCCGCGCUGAAUACGUCCCUGCCCUUUGUACACACCGCCCGUCGCUCCUACCGAUUGAGUGGUCCGGUGAGGCUUUGGGAUCUGAGCGGAAAGAGCGUUUCGCUGUUUCUGCUCGGAAAACUCAGUCGAACCUUAUCAUUUAGAGGAAGGAGAAGUCGUAACA